GCCUGGGUGGCUCAGUUGGUUGAGCGUCUGACUUUGGCUCAGGUCAUGAUCUCACGGUCUGUGGGUUCAAGCCCUCAGGCU
rnacentral:tRNA from 1 species